rnacentral:tRNA from 1 species
GCGCGCGUAGCUCAACUGGUAGAGCAGCGGUCUCCAAAACCGCAGGUUGGGGGUUCGAGUCCCUCCGCGCGUGCCA